UCGGAUGUGCCCCCGUCUUCGGAUUGGGGUGCAUGGCAGACGGGUGAGUAACGCGUGGGGAAUCUACCUCUUUGUGGGGAAUAACGCUCCGAAAGGAGUGGUAAUACCGCAUGAGAUCCAAGACUGGGAUGUUUUGGAUGAAACCUGGGGACCUUAAAGGCCUGGGGCAAGGAGAGGAUCCUGCGUCUGAUUAGCUAGUUGGUGAGGUAAUGGCCCACCAAGGCGACGAUCAGUAGCCGGCCUGAGAGGGUGAUCGGCCACACUGGAACUGAGACACGGUCCAGACUCCUACGGGAGGCAGCAGUGGGGAAUUUUGCGCAAUGGGCGAAAGCCUGACGCAGCAACGCCGCGUGGGUGAUGAAGGUCUUCGGAUCGUAAAACCCUGUCGUCGGGGACGAAGGUGGGCGGGUUAAUAGCCUGUUUGCUUGACGGUACCCGGAGAGGAAGCCCCGGCUAACUCUGUGCCAGCAGCCGCGGUAAUACAGAGGGGGCAAGCGUUAUUCGGAAUUAUUGGGCGUAAAGGGCGCGUAGGCGGCUUUUUAAGUGAGAUGUGUAAUCCCUGAGCUCAACUUGGGAACUGCAUCUCAUACUGGGAGGCUAGAGUACUGGAGAGGGUGGUAGAAUUCCACGUGUAGCGGUGAAAUGCGUAGAGAUGUGGAGGAAUACCAGUGGCGAAGGCGGCCACCUGGACAGUAACUGACGCUGAGGCGCGAAAGUGUGGGUAGCAAACAGGAUUAGAUACCCUGGUAGUCCACACUGUAAACGAUGAACACUUGGUGUGGAGGGAGUUGACCCCUUCCGUGCCGUAGCUAACGCGUUAAGUGU
rnacentral:rRNA from 1 species